rnacentral:rRNA from 1 species
AGUGAACGCUGGCGGCAUGCCUUACACAUGCAAGUCGAACGGCAACACGGCAAGGGCUUCUGAUGAGUGGCGAACGGGGGAGUAAUGCAGAGGAACGCGCCCGGAGCUAGGGGUUCGCGCAGCGAAAGGUGUGCUAAUAUAGCAUGUUACCUCAGGCGGACAGCGGGGGAAAGCGCAGCAACGUUGGGCCUCGCGCCUUUGAAUCGGCCGAUGUCGGAUUAGGUAGUUGGUGGGGUAAAGGCCUACCAAGCCGACGAUCUGUAGCUGGUCUGAGAGGACGACCAGCCACACUGGGACUGAGGCACGGCCCAGACUCCUACGGGAGGCAGCAGUGGGGAAUUUUGGACAAUGGGCGCAAGCCUGAUCCAGCAAUGCCGCGUGCGGGAAGAAGGCCUUCGGGUUGUAAACCGCUUUUGUACGGAACGAAAAGGCUCUGGCUAAUACCUGGGGCUGAUGACGGUACCGUAAGAAUAAGCACCGGCUAACUACGUG